AUUGAACGCUGGCGGCAGGCCUAACACAUGCAAGUCGAACGAGUGGCGGACGGGUGAGUAAUGUCUGGGAAACUGCCCGCUGGAGGGGGAUAACUACUGGAAACGGUAGCUAAUACCGCAUACCAUCAGAUGUGCCCAGAUGGGAUUAGCUAGUAGGGGGGGUAACGGCUCACCUAGGCGACGAUCCCUAGCUGGUCUGAGAGGAUGACCAGCCAAACAGGAAAUGAGACACGGUCCAGAAUUCUGAGGGAGGCAGCAAUGGGGAAAAUUGCACAAUGGGGGCAAGCCUGAUGCAGUCAAGCCGCGUGGAUGAAGAAAGCCUUCGGGUUUUAAAGUACUUUCAGCGAGGAGGCGUUACUCGCAGAAGAAGCACCGGCUAACUCCGUGCCAGCAGCCGCGGUAAUAC
rnacentral:rRNA from 1 species